rnacentral:rRNA from 1 species
UACGGAGGGGGCUAGCGUUGUUCGGAAUUACUGGGCGUAAAGCGCGCGUAGGCGGAUCUGCAAGUCGGGGGUGAAAUCCCGAGGCUCAACCUCGGAACUGCCUUCGAUACUGCGGGUCUCGAGUCCGGGAGAGGUGAGUGGAAUUCCUAGUGUAGAGGUGAAAUUCGUAGAUAUUAGGAAGAACACCAGUGGCGAAGGCGGCUCACUGGCCCGGGUACUGACGCUGAGGCGG